rnacentral:rRNA from 1 species
GUGGGGAAUUUUGGACAAUGGGGGCAACCCUGAUCCAGCCAUUCCGCGUGCGGGAAGAAGGCCUUCGGGUUGUAAACCGCUUUCGGACAGAAAGAAAUCGCAUGGGCUAAUACCCUGUGUGGAUGACGGUACUGUAAGAAGAAGCACCGGCUAACUACGUGCCAGCAGCCGCGGUAAUACGUAGGGUGCGAGCGUUAAUCGGAAUUACUGGGCGUAAAGCGUGCGCAGGCGGAUUGUUAAGCAAGAUGUGAAAUCCCCGGGCUUAACCUGGGAAUUGCAUUUUGAACUGGCAGUCUAGAGUGUGUCAGAGGGGGGUAGAAUUCCACGUGUAGCAGUGAAAUGCGUAGAGAUGUGGAGGAAUACCGAUGGCGAAGGCAGCCCCCUGGGAUAACACUGACGCUCAUGCACGAAAGCGUGGGGAGCAAACAGGAUUAGAAACCCUAGUAGUCC